AACGAACGCUGGCGGCAGGCCUAACACAUGCAAGUCGAGCGAAGCCUUCGGGCUUAGCGGCGGACGGGUGAGUAACGCGUGGGAAUCUACCCAGUUCUACGGAACAACUGAGGGAAACUUCAGCUAAUACCGUAUACGCCCUACGGGGGAAAGACUUAUCGGAAUUGGAUGAGCCCGCGUUGGAUUAGCUAGUUGGUGGGGUAAUGGCCUACCAAGGCGACGAUCCAUAGCUGGUCUGAGAGGAUGAUCAGCCACACUGGGACUGAGACACGGCCCAGACUCCUACGGGAGGCAGCAGUGGGGAAUAUUGGACAAUGGGCGAAAGCCUGAUCCAGCCAUGCCGCGUGAGUGAUGAAGGCCUUAGGGUUGUAAAGCUCUUUCAGUGGGGGCGAUAAUGACGGUACCCACAGAAGAAGCCCCGGCUAACUUCGUGCCAGCCGCCGCCGUAACAC
rnacentral:rRNA from 1 species